UUAGGUUCAAGUUAAAAGAGCUAUUCCAUCUAUACGAUAUACAAAAAUUGAAGUCGCAUACUACCUAAAUCGAAUCAUUAAAAUAAUGAGUACGAAAUUAAUUUUUUCAAAAAAACCGUAAUAAGUGGGUACGGCGAUAUAACGCCAUCUACUUUAGGCGCGCCACAUCGAGCCGGUAUCGAAGAUCUUUAGUUUUAACGAGAGGAUCAGAUUCUAUGGACGUGGAACAAAGUACCGGCGUGCGAGGGCGCGUUCAGUCGAUUCGGCGGUAAAAAUUAAAUUUUUAGCGACCACAGCGUGGAUGUCGACUUUUAUCUUUGAUCGGCCUAAUUAAUUUCGGUUGUAUCGAACGAAAUACUUCAGCACGUACAAAGUUGACGAUACAAAAACAAUUAUUUUUUAAAUUUUGUCGUUGAAGUAUUACCGUUAUAAUUUCGAGUGUUUUUUUAACGACUAGUUUUCUCUCGUUUCAUUCGAUAAUGAAGUAUAUCGAUACCGUUUACGCGGUACUCGUAAUUGAAACGCACGCAUUGAUCGCGAGUUAUUAGAUGGAAUUGACAGGAUUGAAAAUACGCAUCAAAGUGAUAGAGGAGUGAAGUGUUGUCAUGGAUUGACGUUACGACAGUACGUUUCUUGUCGUACGCGCAAAAGCGUGGAAUAUAUUGCAUCGGUUGGGGCUACAAAGGACAUAGGUUCGGUCCUGAGCAGAGUUGACGUCAGCGGCGCAUGCGUGUCAGAACGGACGGCACUGCAGAAGCAGGCGAGUUCGCGAGUGUAUCGAUUUUACGAUCGUGUCUCUCGCCGCUAGUGCGUCCGUUUCCUUUAGUUUUUAGUGGCCGUGCUCGUAGUACAUGGAUAAAAUCGUGAAUGGGAUUAGUCGCUAGUCUCUUCACACCGUACACCCGCUGACUCGCAACUCUUCGUCACCCUCGCCAUGACCAAGGAUAGAUUAGCAGCCCUCGUCGCGGCCCAGUCGGACGACGAUGACGUUACGGACGAUGUGCCCCACAGCGGCGGGGCGGCCGAUGACUUCAUGACAGAGUUUUUCGCGGAGGUGGAGGAGAUCCGCGAAAUGAUAGACAGGAUCCAGACGAACGUCGAAGAUGUGAAGAAAAAGCACAGUGCCAUCUUGUCGGCGCCACAGACCGACGAAAAAGUCAAAAUGGAGUUGGAGGACCUGAUGUCCGACAUCAAGAAGACGGCCAACAAAGUCAGAGCCAAGUUGAAGGUGAUCGAGCAAAAUAUCGAGCAGGAAGAGCACACGAACAAAUCGUCGGCGGAUUUGAGGAUACGCAAGACGCAGCACUCGACGCUUUCCAGGAAGUUCGUCGAGGUGAUGACGGAAUACAAUCGGACGCAAACCGAUUACAGAGAGCGGUGUAAGGGGAGGAUACAGCGGCAGCUGGAAAUCACCGGUAGAACGACCACCAACGAGGAACUGGAAGAAAUGCUGGAACAAGGAAAUCCGGCCGUGUUCACGCAAGGGAUCAUCAUGGAAACGCAACAAGCGAAACAGACCCUCGCCGAUAUCGAGGCGCGCCACGCCGAUAUCAUCAAAUUAGAAAACUCGAUUAGGGAACUACACGACAUGUUCAUGGACAUGGCGAUGUUGGUAGAAAAUCAGGGUGAGAUGAUAGAUCGCAUAGAGUACCACGUGGAACACGCGGUGGACUACGUGCAGACGGCUACGCAGGACACCAAAAAAGCGCUCAAGUAUCAAAGCAAAGCCCGACGGAAAAUGAUCUUCAUCAUAAUCUGCGUGUUAAUAUUGGCCGUGAUAUUAAUCUCCAUAAUAAUUGCAUGCGUACCGAGGAGCUAAAGGUUCGUUGAGAGAGUCGGCGCGGGAAGGGAAAGGACGGGAAAGGAAGGGAUGGGAAGGGAACGGAUAGGAAGGAACGGGGUUAGGAAAGACGGGUCGCUAGAAGACGUUGCGCGCGCGAUGCUCGAUCGAGCGACCACGAUGCGAGGAAAAUGGCAGGACAAGAAAGAAGACGCGCAAGAGGAGGGUAGGAUAUGGGGAGAAGAAAAGAAGAAUGGUGUAAAGACGAUCGACUCAUGGUGUCGGAAAUUGCCGAACGCGCGCGCCUCCUUCCUGGCAAACGCGGAACCAGCUUCGCCCAACCUCCUCGAGCUCCGCUCUAUCCCGGCUCUAAUCUGUGACUAACUUCGAGGAAGCAGCUACGCUUACUUGCUCGUUAACGCAAUAACCGAAUAACAACCGUGCACGUUCCACUAACGACCAGCGUGGAUCGAUUCCUCCUCGAGUCAGUGGAUAUCGAGAUCGCUAUGACGCGUCGCGCAACGAGCUCCUUCCAUCCUCCGCGAAAUCGACUCCGUGCUUCGACGUUUCGUGUUUACCUUUUUGGGAGUCCGAUUUCGCGAGCUUUAGAGAAUUACCGAGCGUGCGACCGCAAUACCGUGUGUUUUGUUCACAGAAAUUGAUGUUCAUCGUUAUUUGCCUGACGAUAGCGCUCAUCAUUUUAAUAACCAUUCUGGUAUACGCGUUGUAAGAGAGAAGCACACGAGGAUUCCAGGGAGAGUCACGCGAGAAUCGCGCCUUCUCUUCGCCAGCGCGAACCAAUCGGUUCCCUUUGCGUAAAGCGACCGGACUUUAGCCGACGAACUAUCACCGAGCGACCUUCACUGCCUUUUUGUUCUCGUAAUUUUCGGCUUUCCGCGACAUGUAACGCUGCUAUCGAACGACACUAUUAAACGCUUCCAGCCUUGCGAUUCGCACAAAGUCCCUUAGAAAUCCCCCCUUUUCUAAUGCCCGAAUAUGUCAUCGCCAGAGGUGUCACCGAGACGUACGAGCUCGUUUUGCCGACAAUAUUUUCAAGCUAGCGUUUAAGACUCAAUUUAUGAAUUAUUAGAAACAGAAAAUCUCUAUGGAACGUUCUGGAACCGCAAAAGGAUCCCGCGCUGCAGGACUGCGCAUGCGCGGCGCAACCUCGCUGAAACAAUAUAUGUAUAAAUAUGUAUAUAGAUAAAAAAGUGUACUUUGAUCGUCCAGGCGUAAUUUUAAUCAGAUGACGGAACUUUAGCAAAAUUAUAGAAGGUAGAUCAAAAUAUACUUUUGUCUGUACAUUUGCUUCGCUGACUCCAUGUUCGCCGCGCAUGCGCAGAACGCGUGAACCGGUUCUUGCACGGGGGUUGGAAGUCUUUAAUAGUAUCGUCGGUACGAAUCGAGUGCGAAACUCGUAGAACAGUGACGGGAGGACAUGAAAGAUCGCUCGUUUCCGAACGAGGAGGGAGAAGCGUUUCCCUUCGUUGUUUGCGAACGACUCGACGAUGCGAUUCGAUCGAUUACGAAUCUCGAUCGUCGAUUCGACGACGAUGCGUACGGACAGAGUGUUCGUCGAGGCAGGUCGAGCGGCAGACGCAGAGAGGCACCCAAAGAACUGCGAUUUAGAAAAAGGAUUCGAGCGGAAAGAGUGGUAACGAAGAGAGACAGGAAGCGCGGUUCAAGAAGAAGAUCAUGAUCAUGAUCUGUCUCGCUAUACUCGCCGUUGUUGUGGCCACCACCAUCGGUGGAUACUUUGGACUGUGAA